rnacentral:rRNA from 1 species
CAUACUGUGCGAACGUUAUUCGGAUUCACUGGGCUUAAAGGGUGCGUAGGUGGCUUGUUAAGUAGGGUGUGAAAGCCCCCAGCUCAACUGGGGAACUGCACUCUAAACUGGCGAGCUAGAGUGAGAUAGGGGUGUGUGGAACUGCCAGUGGAGCGGUGAAAUGUGUUGAUAUUGGCAGGAACGCCGGUGGCGAAAGCGACACACUGGGUCUCAACUGACACUGAGGCACGAAAGCCAGGGGAGCGAACGGGAUUAGAUACCCCGGUAGUCCUGGCCGUAAACGCUGAGUACUCGUUUGGAGCGACUGCGGUCGCUCCAAACUUAGAGAAAUCGUUAAGUACUCCGCCUGGGGAGUAUGGUCGCAAGGCUG